UACAGUCAAUUAUUUGAAACCUUUCAGGCUGUGAGCAUGUUGAGCCUAAAGGAUAAGCUGAAUUAUCUGAUAAUAUUUUGCUGCUGUGUGUUUGUCUCUAUCCAUGGAAGCGGCAAAGGUUUACAUGCUCCGUGUGAAGUUGCGAUUAUGGUCCGAAGAAACAGCACCUGGAAGACUCCUCCACGACAAAGUCUGAGGGUCAGCUGUCCGGUCAUACACUGUGGAGAAACGCUGGAGGUCACCUGGUGUAAAUUCCUCGACUCAAACAACUGUGAACGGAUUCAUGAAACAAAAAAUAUGGAAAUAACACAGAAUCCUGAUGAGGAUAAGCUGAUCUCAUAUUUACAUUUCAAGGAGAUUUCCAUUCAUGAUGAUGGUCAGUACAGAUGUCGUUUACUAGGAUAUAAUAUCAGCCUAAUCAGCCAUUCCAUCAACAUCUCAGUAUCAGACAUGCACCAGGGAGUUGAAAACACUGAUAAUAACAAUAAAAAUGCAGGUACAACACCGAGCCCUUAUCACAAUGAGGAUAAGAACUGGAGGCCAUACUUCUACAUUUGUUUUGGCAUAGUGCUUCUGAUUCUCAUACUGACUGCGUUCAUCUUCCUGAGUUCUUAUGACUGGAAACGAGUGCUGACCUUAAACUACGUAAAGGGAGAGGAAAUGCCCACUCAUAUGAUACCAGACCUCCCUAAAUGGAGCCCUCCUUCCACUCCUGUCCCACUGACCAGCUUGUCUGUUUUGAAUGACAUCUAUUCAUCAUAUACUCCAGACAGAUCAGUAUCACCAGCUUCCCAGCCCUGUUCGAACCAGAUUUCAGCUUCAAAUCCAGCAGAUAAAUAUCAAGACUGUGAAGUAUAUGGUAUCAUCAAACAUAGACACGCUACCAAACAGGGUGGAAAAUAUCACACCAUGACUAACCAAGUUAAAAACCCAGAGUCUUCUAUCACUGCUGAAAGACCAGAAUCACCACCUCGCCAGCCCCAUGAGUACCAGAUUUCAGCUUCAAAUCUAGCAGUCAGAAAUGAAGACUAUGCAACGUAUGCUGUCAUCAACCACGGCAAACCUGCUGGAAAACAGCACACUGUGCCUAACCAAGUUAAAAACCCAGAGUAUGCUGUCAUCAAAUUUUCCUGAGUGUUGUUGAUUUGAAAGGGACACUUGCAGAUGAAAAAAUGGAAAAAUGUUUUGCAAUAUGUGGUGGAGUCACAUGAUGAAACGUACAGCUGUACAGCCAUACUGCAGAAGAGAUGAAUGGAGGAAGCUUGUGGUUCUCUAAGUGAACCGUAUGUCCUCUACAGUUAUCAUGACUAAACCGGAAGCAGCAGUGACUUCAUUCUCUAGGCCUCGGGUUUGUUCCCAGCACUGCUUCUUUUUCAAUUAAUAAUUUAUUGUACUUUGUAUUGUACUUGUGGUGUCAUCUGAUUCUAGUCCUUGUAUUGACUGACUGUAGUAACUGUCGUACUUUCAAAAAAGGUCAUAAACAGAUUUCUUCUUCACAGACGAAUAACACUUAAAUGCAGUUUUCUGACUGAUUUGUUAUAGAAGGAUGGCAGUCAUUAAAAAGAAAUGUUAAUCAGUACCAGAGAGAUUUGAGAGAUAUGAACAGUUUCUCAUACCUGUCCCACAUACAGUGCUUGUUGUUUUUGUCACCACUACUGUCAGAGACAACACCUUGCCUGUUGACCACAGAAGUGUGGUUUAGCUCAAAUGUGCAGGAAGUUAAAGAUGGAAACAUUUCUGACAAUGACAUUUUGUGAAAAGGGACGCUCUGCCUCAACCACAUGUUUGCAUUGUUAAUACUGCAGUUUGGGUGAUGGCCUUAUUUUUGGUCCGUCUUUUCACAUAUUCUAUACUUAAAAGAAAAACAAGUAAGAGUAGUAUUGGUUAGCUAUGCAAAGGUACCAGAAACUACAAGCAGCGGAGAAUGGAGGAAUUAGAGGAAAUAUUAAAUAAAGACAACAUAGUCGUUGUCAUAGUAGACUCUAUGUUUGUUAACCAUUUGAGGUUGGAAACCUUAAAGAAAUCUCCCCUUGUAAAAUGUUAGGGCCUUUUUGUGGACAUACACUGUGUGCAAUUCCGUUUAAGGGGGAUUUUCACCUUUAAAAUUUCUCUGAAUCAUUUUAUAAGUGAGUCUGAAGUUAGAGCAUUUUCCUGGAAAAAAACAGGUGUUUAUCAAAAUAUUAAAACAAUUAUGGUAAAGCUGCAAUUUAACUGUUUAGAAUAAUUUCAAAUGUCAGCAUUAAUCCUGCCUCUUUAAUACUUACACUCAAUUGAUCUACAUUAGUAUAUAUGUAUUUGUAUAUAUACAUGUUUGAUUAUUUGUUUUGCUUUUUAAAUAAUACCAUAGACAAUAGACUACAGACUCUAUAGGUAUGAUUUUUUUAAAUGUUGCAUUCAGUUCAAACCAGUGAUUCUGCCCAUAAGUUUUUACUGAGGUAUAUGUGGUGGGGGGACCAGGGAAGGUUUUUCCAUAUCUAUACAACCAAACAUUUAUUUUUUUUUAAAUCACAGAGGUUGCCCCUUGUUCUUAGAAAUAAUUCAGAUUUAAGGUACUUGUGAACUGCCUUCACUUUUAAUCAUUUCGAGCUGUGCCCAUCGUUUACUGUAUGUGCAGUGUGUGAUAUCAGCUAACAGGUCAAUAAAACAUUGGUGCAUGAUCAUAAUUUUCUUGUCAAGUGUCACAAACAGAAAUCUGCAGAAAAUAAACCCAUUUACUACAUUA